GUCUGAGCAUCCUGAGCUCUUUGUAUCGAGACACACGUCUGUGGGAGGACAUGAGUGCUGCUGUCCUGGGUUUCACUUCUCCUGUGUGGGCCUCUUUCUCGCGCUCAUUUGCUCACCUCGCGUACACCACCCUGUCAGGCCAUGAACAAAGGGGACAACAAGAGCCGUACAUGUGGACACACACACACACACACACACACUCCCAGCUGUGCGGUGGUCCUGGCCGAUUGCCCUCGAUCGCUCGCUUUGAUCACCUCCACAUGGGCGACACGGCUCCUACAGGUCAGGACGGCGACAACUCCAGGUCACAUUCCUGUGCUCUCCUCCCUCAUACCUGUCUGUCUGCCUUUACCUCUUUCAUACAUCCCUCCUCACUUCAUUCUCUUAUCAGUUCAUUCCUUCUGAGUCCCGCCCCCCAACUCGUUCCUUACUCUCAUGAUGUCGAAAGAUCUGCUUUCAUUGCCGGUUUCCCUUGUUAAUGCAGCACUCAAGCCAGCAGGCUUUACUAUAGAGUACAGUAAGCCUAAUCCAUCCCAGAAUGCAGCAGUCAGGCAGACACAGAGAACACACACACAGAUUUCGUGUAGUCUGUGAGGGCUGUUUCUUAAGCUGACAUAAGAAUGUGAUCAAAGUUGAGCCAGUAACACUUAGAACAUUAAGUUUGGUGUGUCCAGCAUUACUUUAGCCACAUAAGAUUGUGAUUUGAAGGCCUUUUACUGUUCCUGGAACAAAACAUCAGACCCUGCAAAUCCUGCAUGACGUGAGCUGUGUGUCUCUUGAACACCCUGGAGCUGCAAGACCAAUUUCUGCAUCGUAAUUGUCUCGAGGGCCAUCAUCAUGUGUUCUGACUCACUACUCAUGUUAAAGAGGUCAUAUUAUUUUAAUUACAUUUUCCCCCCUGAGGUACGUUUAGGAAUUGUCCACCCAAAAAUUGAAAUUCUUUCCACAUUACUCGCCCUCAAGUUGUUCCAAACCUGUAUGACUUCCUUUCUUCUGUGAAACAUGAAAGAAGGAAGUUAAUCUAGUCAAAAAAAAAAAAAAAAACUAUAUAUGUCCAAUAUAACAUGUUAAAUAUACUGUAUAAACACAAACACACACACACACACAUACAGUACAGACCAAAAGUUUGGACACACCUUCUCAUUCAAAGAGUUUGCUUUAUUUUCAUGACUAUGAAAAUUGUAGAUUCACACUGAAGGCAUCAAAACUAUGAAUUAACACAUGUGGAAUUAUAUACAUAACCAAAAAGUGUGAAACAACUGAAAAUAUGUCAUAUUCUAGGUUCUUCAAAGUAGCCACAUUUUGCUUUGAUUACUGCUUUACACACUCUUGGCUUUCUCUUGAUGAGCUUCAAGAGGUAGUCACCUGAAAUGGUCUUCCAACAGUCUUGAAGGAGUUCCCCGAGAGAUGCUUAGUACUUGUUGGCCCUUUUGCCUUCUUUCUGCGGUCCAGCUCACCCCUAAACCAUCUCGAUUGGGUUCAGGUCCGGUGACUGUGGAGGCCAGGUCAUCUGGCGCAGCACCCCAUCACUCUCCUUCUUGGUCAAAUAGCCCUUGAUGCCUUCAGUGUGACUCUACAAGUUUCAUAGUCAAGAAAAUAAAGAAACCUCUUUGAAUGAGAAGGUGUGUCCAAACUUUUGGUCUGUACUGUAUAUAUAAAUAAUCUGCACGGGGAAAUCUGGCUGAAAAAAAAAGUUAAUAUGUUGUUAAUUUAAUUUGUUUAUCAGUUCAUAAGUGUCCAUAGCCUUCGGUCCACAGCAGUCCAUGUGCAUUCAAUAUUAUCAGACUGACUGAGGUCGACUCAUGGCUGUUCACAGAAAGCAUUUUUAUGUUUUUGUCUGCGGUAAUUUUUUUAAUUGGCUGUCUGUGUGCACAGCAUACCGAUGGUUUGGUGUAGCCACGAGUGCCAUGUUUUUAAGUUUUGAAAUAAAGUUGACCUCUUUAAUGUUAUAAUGUCAAAGCUGGAAUGAUCAAUGUGCAUGGAGGGAAGGUUUGCUCUGAUAUCAGUUUCUCCAUCCUGUCCACUUUCUAUGUGAGGAACUCCUCAAAUCUCCCGUUCAGCUCUCAUAACACGGAUAUCCGGGGAAAAGAAAGGAAAAGAUGAGCAUUCCAAGAACAGGUGUGAGUUUAGUUGUUUUGUGUACCACUCCCAACUACACUGUAAAAAAAAUAUGCAGCAGAGAACACUUUGAGAAGACUUAUAGCAACCAGUUGCAUUACUUUUUUUUUUUACUUUAACUCAUUUUUUUUUUACUUUAGCUCAACUUAGAGUUUCAUAAUCUCAGAAGUAAUCAUAAUUUACUUGUGAAUCCAAGUUUAGUAAGCUAUAUAUAUAUUAUUCUAAAUGACAUCAGUGUUAAUAUCGCAUAUUAUUAAUGUAAACCACUCUUAUUUUGGAAGACCCUAAACACAUUAAACUCUAAACAGUUAAAGGUGACCUUGCUUAACUUGUGUACAAACUCAAAAGGUCAUACAGAGUUUGUCUGUAUGCACCAAAAUAAGUUUAUAAAACUCUUAAAAAUCUUAAGAAACUUCACCAAAGUGACAACUGUGUACCCUAAUAAUGAAACGAACUUUUUUUUCACUUAACAGAGCCCAUUUUGACGAACAAAUACUUGCAUGUGCCCUUAAGUCCACAUGCUUUAACCAAAAAAUUAUUUAAGUGCAAGGGAUUAUGGGUGAUCAGUGCUGUUUAAUAUUUGAAGUUGCUCAUACUAAUUGGGUAAAAGACGCUUUUGUGUAGAACAUGCAACUUAUUCUACAAUCCGUCAACCUUCAUAAUAGAGUUUGUCUGACAGAACAGAAGUUGGAAAUCUUAGAGUGUACUUAUACUAUUGUUUAUGACUCAUUACCAGCGCUGUUCUUCAGUUUAUGCCAUUGCAAACCCUUUGUACUAAUGUCAUUUGAUAUAUAUGGCACAAUGUAAAUACAGAGCUUGAUUUUAUCCGUUGGAAAGUGGCUGUAACAUUGCAGAAUGGAGCUUGGUGGUUGGAGAGAAAAGGUAGAGAAGUGAUAAUUGUGCUGUCAACCACAAGUUGAUACUUGGUAAUACAAUAUUGAGACUUUUGAUGCGAGGAUUCCAUAAGAAUGUUUCGAUGGAAGGCUUGCCACAGUUCUCUUGAUGUGAGCAGAUCUCGAGGCGAGCUCUGUGUGAUCCUGCUCGGUCAUGGGUUGGUUCACUAGGGGGCACUGAAGUCCUGUGCUUUUUCUCCUUCCAGUCUUCUAUUC
ensembl:lncRNA